rnacentral:tRNA from 1 species
GCCGAAGUGGCGGAAUGGCAGACGCGCUGCGUUCAGGGCGCAGUGGUCGAAACGGCCGUGUGGGUUCAAAUCCCACCUUCGGCACCA